UCACUGUAGGAAACCAUUCUGUGUCUGCAAGGAGGCACUGGCCAAGCUGGUGGCACUGGGUUUGUGUGGUUGGUGCUGCUCACAGUCAGAACAGGCACUUUUAAAACCUGUUUCUAUUAGGUUCUAUUAAUUGACUCAUCAUCCCUGCCCCCUCCUGCACAAACAUUUGCUCUGCCCUGAAAUGUGAGCUAAACAAGGCUGGUGAGAAAUGCUUUCUGUAUAUAGCUGGGGAGAGAUGGGACUGAGGAGAGAGAAGCAGUGAAUUUGGGCCAUUUGGUAAAACACAAGAUUGUAAAAGCCUAAAAAAACCCCAACCCCAUACAAAAACAACAACAAAGGAAUUGUGGUUCCUUAGGCCAGUUGGCAUUCCUGGAAGUUGAUGACGCCCUGGAUUACUGUUGUGCUUUUAGACCUCUCUCAGUGUUUUUAGGAUAGCUUGUCUGCAGUGUGGGUAUGUGUGGGUAGAGCUGGGAAUAUGCAGAAGGAGGGGGAAAUAGCUAAAAAUGGGCAGGAACAAGCUGCCUGCAUAUGCUAUAUAUUUUUUUCCCUUAAAUUAUAAAGGAAAAAGCUUGAAGUUGUUAAAGAUUUGGGUACAUGGGGGUGGAGCGCAGGCAUGGCAAAGGAAGUGCAUCCUGAAGACUGCAUCUAAUACAGGAUGUUUCGUGCUCCAUUAAACUUCAUGCUUCCUCAGCUAUGGGAGAGCUGUGUCUCAGGUUGCAAAACAAUCAGUCCAGGCUUCUGAUUUAUGUCACUUGGAAGCUGCCUUGCUCUGCAGAGAGGAGGAAGGAUGCAGCCAAACUGUCCCAGGCCAAUGCACCCAGGAGCGUGAUGGUAUGGAUGGUACAGAGCUCCUGCAGGUCUUGUAUUGAUGCCACCAGGAAAUGGGUUUGGUUUUGGUGUCACAUCUCAUUCUGGCAUUUUUGCUUAGAAAACAAUCUUUUCUGUGCAGUAUUUCUCUUUUCCCCAUGUUACUCAUGCUGAUGCUGAGCCCCAUUGGUCUCCAUGGGAUGCUGCUGCUUUGUGGGGCCUCCAAAAGCUGAAGAGUUAGCUCAUCCCUGAGCAGGACAGAGGGAAGGUGGGGAAUGAAAGAGCCAAGGUCUCCUCCCAUAUACGUGAGUGUGUAAUAGCCAGAGCAUGUUCUGGGUCUGCUGAUUUCCUGAUGGCUGCUCUGGGUGUUUGUUGCUCACGUUAAAAGCAGGGCCCUGUUUGCAGCUUGAACACUUGGAGCUUGGAGGAAAGAACAGUUGUUACAUCAGUGUCUGAAGGAGAAAUGCCUGUUUCCACUCUGCCAGGAUCCAUGUGAUGGUCCCUGCGGGGAGCAGCUCUGUGCUCUCUCUGGUACCCGGUGGCAUAGGAGGGGUGGAUGCUGUUGCUGUCAGGUAUGUAACACCCACUGCAUUUUCACUCCAAGCUCUUCUCUACCCUGAAGCUCUGCAGAUGUGCCAAGAUCACAGGUUUUAUUUCCCUGUUAACAAAGCAGAGCCUGACGUUCCCAGUCAGUGCAUCCAGCAGGUCUGCUCCCUGCCCAUUGCUCCUUUCCAAUACAAUGAGGUGCUGUCUGGAAAGUUCCCAUUAGCUCUUCCUUUCCCCCCCCCUCAGCUGGAAGCUUCCUUUUAAAACAUUAAUAUCCGUAUUCUAUUUUCUCCUCCCAGCAGGUUAAUUAAUACUUGAUUCAUCACCUUGAAAGCUAAUGGAUAUUUAUCCAGAUCCUGAAGGAAAUGAAUGCCUUCUAUAAAUAACUGCAGCAACUCUGUAGCUCACAGACAACCCAUCUUUAUUUAUGCUCCUUCAGGAAGCCAUCCAAAGGAGUUAAUCCUGACCUUUUCCCAGGGCUGGUUUUGCACUGGCCUGGGUUGAUGUUUUCCUGCUUGAGCUUUACUUUGUAAACAUGGUGCCUUUUUCCAAGGGAAAACAGCAGCUUUUGUGGAGAGAGACCCAGUCAGCACAGUCUCAUCAUGCAGCCUGGGCCAGCAAAGCUUGGUUGGGUGUUUUCAUGGGCUGGGAGGGCUCUGGCAGGCUCUGAGAAGUUGUUUAGUUCUGGCUAUUGGGAAAACAUACUGGAGAGCUCAUCUGCUUCAAAUAGCUGGUGUUUAUUGGCUUUGUCUCCAGCUGUUAUCACUGGUGACCUUAAUUAGGAGUACAGUAAAAAUCACACCUUGUCAUGCAUACACAUAUAGCAUUUAAAAGUAAUUACUGACAUUAUUAACUUGUGUGUUCCCCCUGGUGCUGCUCUCCGUCCAUGGGAGCACCUGGCUGCUCACUGGAGUAAGUCCCCAUGGUCCAUGUAGCCUUCAAAGGCAGAGAUAACUGGAUGGGUGCUGGAAGCUGGACAAAGGGACUGAUGGGCAUGCAGGUGCUAUGAGCAUUGCAGGUGGUGCUGGAGGCCAACCAAAGCAUGACCCAGUGGGAUGUGGUGCAUUGGCUUUUCCCACAGCCCUGUCCAUUGCUUGCUGCUGCCCAUGGCUGGGUCUACACUAGGUUGUGAGUCUCUGUUAUGGGUCUGAUGCUGCUCUCACGGAUCCAGAGGGACUGGGGGGUGCUGAGAGCUCUAUGUGCUUAUCCAGACCAAGGCUGGAUGAUUCUUGCUGGUGGCAUUUCCAGGCUCCUGACCUCCCUGCAGUAUAACCCAGUGGACACCUUGCCCUGUGGUCUGCAGGGUGGGCUGCCUGUUGUUUCAGCAACAGCACUUGAUUUGAGGCAGGAUAAGGGGAACCAAAUGAGCUCAUCUCUCCUGUGUUGCUAUAUCUUUGGUUUUCAUUGUAAAAUGAAAUUGAUGCAAUUUGUGAGGAUGCCUCCAGGAAGCACCAGCCUUUGGAGUCACUCAAUUGUGUAGAAAUCUCAGCUUUUAUUCAUUUCCUUGUGCCUCAUCAGGAUGCUGAAAGCUUCAAGCACAAAGGAGCAGCAAGAUGGGUUUAUGGUUGUAUUAAAAACCCAUGCUGCUCCAGAUGAACUUAUGGGCUCUUUUCUUUCCCAGGGACAUGGGCUCAUGAAUGUUUAAUUCCUGAGCUGGCUGAAUUAGAAACAGAACAACCGAUUUUAAUGGGUGUAAGAUUAAUGCAGAUGAGCUUGGCUGAAAGUGUGAUUCCAGAGGAAAGCUCCCUCCUCAGUGGGCUGAGGUGUUGCAAGUGUUACUGUAGCAGAACAUAUUCCCAUCACUGGGCAUUACCUGGGGCAGAGAUAUUCAUUAAAUAGGGUCAUAAUGGAUGUUUUGGCCAUUAGCUCUUUGCAGGUGCCCUGGGCCCUCAUCAGUUCUACAAGGUGGAUUUGGCUACUGUGUAAGUAGAGAAGAAGGAUGGUGUGGAUGGAUGUGAGAAACCCCCCUUAACUCUGGGCUAGCAUCCACUGGAUGGGAAGGAGAAGACUUUGUGCUGUUGCAUGGAGCCACCACAGCUCCAAGCAAGGUCGUGCUGCCAGAGAUCACAUCUCUGCAGGUUCUGCCUGCUUGGGCUCUGGAGUGAAGGCAGCAGGAGCAUUCAUGAGAGGCAUGCAAUGAACCACAAACAAUGAGGAGUGUCCCAGGGAAGAGCUGGUGACCAUGGAGGAGCAGGGACCUCCUGCCUGAGCACGGGAGAUGCCUUCCUCAGCUAAAUGACAGCCCCUGGUGUUGUGAUGGGACAAGCUGCCGACUACAGGGCCUGGGAGCUCCUGUUUCAGGGAGAACAGGUUGCAAAUGAGCCAGCAAAACCUGUACUCUGGGUGUUGAUCCUCUUGGGAUGUAUCUGACACGGAUGGGAUGCUG